CUGCUCUUCUUAAAUGUGAUAUGAUGUAGCCAAUUUUGCUCCUUAGAUCCUUCUCCUCUCUUCUCUCUUUCGACCUCUCUCUUUGUUAUCUUCACCUUUCCUUUGUCCAUCUCUAUCUCCACCCGGUCAUCCAUGCGUCAGUCUAUCUCUCUCGCGCAGAUCCCUCCAUCUCUGUCUCCACAGAUCCUCCCUGCCUCUCUCUUCCCUCUGUUUUAUCUCUCUCUAAACCCUAAACCCUUUGGAUCUCUCUAUAUUCGAUCCAUCUGACAAACCCAAAACCAUUUAAAUCGACUCCUUCAAAUCGUCAUUCAGAUGGAGAAGAUGAAGACGAAGUACAAACAAACCCUAAGACAAAGCAAGCAGAUGAAGAAGAUGAACAAGGCAAAAGCUUGAGAUUGCUGAAAUCGUCUGAAAUCCAUCACGCGUCUUCAAAUCGAGCUCCUUCCAGAUCUCAUUCCGAAAUACUCCAAGGCUGAAGAACUUCGAAGGUGCUAGGGUUCCAUGUCUAUUCGAUCAUCUCCUUCCAGAAAUACUCCCAAGAGAGUUUGAAGAACACUUCGAAGGUGCGAUUGAAAGGUUUAAUCGAAGGUACUGCCGAUUGAUUCUCUCCUUCGAAGGUGCGAUUGAAGAGCUCCUUCCAGAUCUCAUUUCAAAAUACUCCAAGGCUGAAGAACUUCGAAGGUGCUAGGGUUCCAUGUCUAUUCAAUCAUCUCCUUCCAGAAAUACUCCCAAGAGAGUCUGAAGAACACUUCGAAGGUGCGAUUGAAAGGUUUAAUCGAAGGUGCUGCUGAUUGAUUCUCUCAUUCGAAGGUGCGAUUGAAGAGUUAAAUGUGGAAUUUACAUGUUUGGGAGGGAAGCCAAGGGAGGGUACAAGAGGCUUACAUGAAUUCCUCAAAGUGGUAGAAAUUGUUGUGACACUGAGCUUGCUGUGUACUUGCUUGAGAAUGCUGUGUUGCUCGACAAGAUAACUGUCAUUUCUAGACAUCCAUAUUACAUGUGAAGGUGGGAUUUAAAUGACCCAAUAGGUGAGGGAAAUGAUGCUGCUAGAGAACGUGCCAAGCAGCUGAAAACAAAACUACCCCUAGGCACUGAAUUAGUGAACUUAGAUUGCAAAAUUGUCAAUUAACUAUAAAUUGUUGGCUGUGGUGGCAUUGAUCUAUAUAUUGUGAGAAUAGUUAUGUUGUGUUAAAGGAAUAGUAUUAUCCAAUAGAGUUUUAUAAAGUUAUGUAUUAUGAUUUUGUUAAAGAGGGGGCUUUGAUGAUGUCUUCUUUUAUUUGCUACCAGAUAGUGAUGAUAUUGUUUGCAUAAUUUUUACUUGAUUA